CUCGUCACACCGUCCCACCUGGGCAGGGGGCAGGACAAGGGUGAGACACGCGUGUGAAUUUCAUGGUGGAGGCACAGCCUAAUCAGAAGACUGCGUCCAAGGCGAGCCCCACACUUGAGAGUUUUACCUCCAGUCCUCACAUACAGGAAAAAAGAAAAAAGAAAAAAAGAAAGGAAAAGAAAGGAAAAAUUAUUUCAGGAGCAGGAAACUUAUACAAGUCAGAAACUCAGACCUCCAUGAAGAAAAGUAGAGCGUCAGAGGAGGAAUAAGUGAAGAACUGUGUUCCAGGAGGCGAGAGGCCAGCUCCACCCACGACUCAGAUACCUGCACAAAGACUUCUCCCAAAAACAGCACUGAGUUCUGUGCAUCCUCCCACUGCAUUGCUCAGAAUAAUAAAAGGAUGGAGUAGAGUUUGG